UCCUACGGGGGGCAGCAGUGAGGAAUAUUGGUCAAUGGAGGCAACUCUGAACCAGCCAUGCCGCGUGAAGGAUGAAGGUCCUCUGGAUUGUAAACUUCUUUUAUAAAAGAAGAAACCCCAGAUUUCUAUCUGGGUUGACGGUACUUUAUGAAUAAGCACCGGCUAACUCCGUGCCAGCAGCCGCGGUAAUACGGAGGGUGCAAGCGUUAUCCGGAUUCACUGGGUUUAAAGGGAGCGUAGGUGGGCUGGUAAGUCAGUGGUGAAAUCCCCGAGCUUAACUUGGGAACUGCCAUUGAUACUAUCAGUCUUGAAUACUGUGGAGGUAAGCGGAAUAUAUCAUGUAGCGGUGAAAUGCUUAGAUAUGAUAUAGAACACCGAUAGCGAAGGCAGCUUACUACGCAGUUAUUGACACUGAGGCUCGAAAGCGUGGGGAUCAAACAGGAUUAGAUACCCUGGUAGUC
rnacentral:rRNA from 1 species